GAGGAGUUCACAUUUAUGGUGAGUCCAUGCAAGAAGACCCUCUGACAGGUGCCUGUCACCCCUGAGGAGUCACUGGUUGCAGCCCGUUCUGAAGUGUCAUUGAGAUAGAAACCAAGUCAAAGCCGUGGCCUAGAAAGAGAGUCUGGGCAGAAUUCUGCAAGCAGAUUCUUUAUUUGAGAAACAUGGAUGCCACACCUGAAAGGCAGUGGCCAUUUCGGUAAUCACCUGAGGCAAGAUCAGAAAAAAAUCUAAAAGAAUUGCAGAGAUGCUGACCUUGAUGACUUCAAGCUGCUGAACCAAGUCCCAGAGAAAUCAGGAUUAUAGUUGUUUGGCUGUUUCAGACACACCUGCUGGUCAUUCGCCACCUGAACCCACAAUCGGGUAUUUGGACUCGGCAGUGAGUCCUGCCACGGAGGCAGCUCUGACGCGACUGGCAGAGGAUUAGCACUUCACGUGGGAAGAAGCAGCAGGAAAGGAUGAAAAUCUUAAGUAGCAAAGAUCUUGUUUUCGUCUCUAGAACUCCAGUAAUAAAGGCCAGUGGCAAUGCUCUCGCUAGUACCAG
rnacentral:lncRNA from 1 species